AGUGAACGCUGGCGGUAGGCCUAACACAUGCAAGUCGAACGGCAGCACAGUAAGAGCUUGCUCUUACGGGUGGCGAGUGGCGGACGGGUGAGGAAUAUAUCGGAAUCUACUUUUUCGUGGGGGAUAACGUAGGGAAACUUACGCUAAUACCGCAUACGACCUACGGGUGAAAGCAGGGGAUCUUCGGACCUUGCGCGAUUGAAUGAGCCGAUGUCGGAUUAGCUAGUUGGCGGGGUAAAGGCCCACCAAGGCGACGAUCCGUAGCUGAUCUGAGAGGAUGAUCAGCCACACUGGAACUGAGACACGGUCCAGACUCCUACGGAGGGCAGCAGUGGGGAAUAUUGGGCAAGGGGCGCAAGCCUGAUCCAGCCAUGCCGCGUGGGUGAAGAAGGCCUUCGGGUUGUAAAGCCUUUUUGUUGGGAAAGAAAAUCAGCAGGUUAAUACCCCGCUGUUCUGACGGUACCUAAAGAAUAAGCACCGGCUAACUUCGU
rnacentral:rRNA from 1 species